AGGGUGGUGCAAAAGUGAUCGUGGUUUUUGCAAUUUUUUAAUGACAAAAACCACAAUUACUUUUGCACCAACCU
ensembl:miRNA MIR548T microRNA 548t